CUUCUUCGCAUCCUCGCGACUAAUGACAACCUUAACCCACCCUAUGUGGAUAAAGCCUCUCAUUAGCCGCGCGAACCUCUGCAAGGAAGAUCAUUCGUAGCAACAAUACAUCAUACUCGUCAUACUUCAAGGUGUCGCAAUGAUACGAACCCGCCCUGAACGCUUUA
rnacentral:sRNA from 2 species